UACCUUUUCUAUGUUUUGAGUGACGGAC
rnacentral:piRNA from 1 species